rnacentral:rRNA from 1 species
UACAGAGGUCUCAAGCGUUGUUCGGAAUCACUGGGCGUAAAGGGUGCGUAGGCCGCACGGUAAGUCAGAGGUGAAAUCCCGGAGCUCAACUUCGGAAUUGCCUCCGAUACUGCCGUGCUUGAGGACUGGAGAGGAGUCUGGAAUUCCCGGUGUAGCAGUGAAAUGCGUAGAGAUCGGGAGGAACACCAGUGGCGAAGGCGACUACCUGGACCAGCACUGACACUGAGGCACGAAAGCGUAGGGAGCAAACAGG